rnacentral:lncRNA from 1 species
UAGGCGAAGGCGGUUCGUCGAUACGAAAAUCGAGCGUGAAGAUAUCGCCAUUUGAAGUGCUAAAGGGUUAAAGCAAACCCAACAAAAAUUAAGCGGCGACAAGACUAGCGCAAGAGCGCGUCUCGGAGUGUUUUCGGCAUCACCUAAGGUGGGGGAGUGCCAUCCCGAAGUCAUCGGGCUACUUGUUAUGUCUAAAUUUAAAAAUGACCAAGAUGCAUAUUGUGCAUGUUCAUAUAGGGUUAGAAGAUGAUUGUUGUUGCUUAUAUUUGCAUGCUAGUAGCUAUAUAUCUCGUUGGAUGAUUUAUGAUCUAGUGUGCAUGAUGGUUAUAUGAUGAAAACUAUAGAUUGAGAACCUAGACCCUAUAUGAGAUGAUUAAUGCUUAUGUUGCUAAAGAACUAGUAUGAUGAAACUAGUGUUGAUAAUGAGUC